rnacentral:rRNA from 1 species
GGCGCAGGCCUGGAUCAGCCUGGCCGCGUGGCGGAUGACGGUCCUACUGGAUCUGUAAACUCGCUUUUUGCACAGGAAGAAACAACAUUACGCGUAACGUCUCGACGGUACCGUGAGAAAUAAGGAUCGGCUAACUCCGUGCCAGCAGCCGCGGUAA